rnacentral:misc_RNA from 1 species
AGGCCUUUCCAGAACACGAGAUGUUUCAUCAGCCCGUUCUUUAUUCGAAUUGAUCUGGAUGUAAGUCUUCAAAUCUCUAAAACCGCUGGAAACAAUUCAUACGUACGUACAAUUUCAUUGUACUAAUGAUCAUGUAACAUCAACAUGCCUUUCGAAUUAUGAAUAAAGUAAUUUUUUUCCGUUCGUGCACCGGUAUUUUGAAAAAUGCUAAGCCAAGUGGAGUGAAAGAAAAGUCGGCGAAUUCACAAAAGGCGUGAUGUAAAGUUCGAGCGGAGACAAAAGCGCGCCGUAGGGAAUAGAUCACUACCUCCAACGAAUUAUCUUCGUUUACGCCGAUCCGUUGUAAGAGUGAAUUUUCGAGAUUCAAAUGUCGUGACUGCGCACCGUUCCAUGGCCCUUCAUUCCCAGAACCGAUUCGAAGACUAACAAGGAGACGGCAUAGGUUGGAUGUCGCGAAUCGGGUUCUUCUUUCGCGUGGUGAAAGCUGGAGACCUCCGAAGCAACGUAGUUUUUGUCUUUUGAUCCAAUGGGCCUUAGUUCCUGAGAUAUCGCGAUUUGAAAAUUUGGGAAUUAUGGGCGGAGCCAAGCCGGUUCCGGCUGGUGGGUACACUACAUUGAGCGUUAUACGCCUAAACAAGAGCGGUUGUAGCCCAUACGGCAAAACGACGGACUGGUACGCUGAAGGUUUAUGGUUCGCGUCCCCGUACUUUUUUUUUUUUUUAAUGCAUUUUUUUUUUUUUUUUUCAUCUCUGAUGAGAUUUUGCAUGUGCAGGUAAAUAAUAUACAUGAAAUACUUUGUUCCAUAGAAAAAUCAGGUGGGACAGGGUAUGCGAUAUUCCGGGUAUUUACGUGUUAUAGAAAACCCUGCAGGUGGGAAAGGGUAUGCGAUAUUCCGGGUAUU